rnacentral:lncRNA from 11 species
CUUUCUCCUAAAUAACACUGGGGCCCCGAGAGGAGAAUUGGAUGGCUUAAUGAAGCCUCGCGCCAGGUUUUUAUCAAUAUAUUUCCUCAAUUCCUCCUUCUCCUGCACAGACAUGGGAUACACUUUUGGUUUUGGUAAGUUUGCUCCUGGGGUUAUUUCAAUUUCUACUUCUAUAUUCCUUUUAGCUGGUCUCGAGCCCUCAAUUGCUCUAGCCGGUCUCUGAACCGGUUUUCCAGUGCGGCGAGGAAGCGGGGCACUGACCUCAGGCAUGGGUCGCGUCUGGCAUGUAGUUGCACAUACCAGCUGGCUGCUCCUCGCUUUAGUGUGUUGCCGAUGGCUCGAACCCUGCUUGCUUCGGAGGGGAAUGUGUGUGCAUUGUCUUCCAUGUAUCCUCUGAUGCUAAUUAGAAAAAAGUUCAGUUCAUCUGAUUCCCCUCCGUAUUCUAGUUUGAGAUCUUCCCUUCUUGGCAUCCAUUCUGCGGCCCGUUGAUGCUGUCUGGGAGGCAUGGGGAAGGGUUGCAUCGGGUUUCCUCGGGCGGCCCCUUGGAACACGCCGCGCCCCACUCCGGUGGUCAUUCU